rnacentral:rRNA from 1 species
CCUACGGGAGGCAGCAGUGAGGAAUAUUUGUCAAUGGACGAGAGUCUGAACCAGCCAAGUAGCUUGAAGGAUGACUGCCCUAUGGGUUGUACACUUCUUUUAUAAAGGAAUAAACCGAGGCACGUGUGCCUUUUUGCAUUUACUGUAUGAAUCAGGAUCGGCUAACUCCGUGCCAGCAGCCGCGGUAAUACGGAGGAUGCGAGCGUUAUCCGGAUUUAUUGGGUUUACAGGGUGCGUAGGCGGAGUUUUAAGACAGCGGUAAACUGUCCGGGCGCAACCCGGGACAGCCGGUGAAAUUGGGGAUCUUGAGUGGGCGAGAAGUAUGCGGAAUGCGUGGUGUAGCGGUGAAAUGCAUAGAUAUCACGCAGAACUCCGAUUGCGAAGGCAGCAUACCGGCGCCCGACUGACGCUGAGGCACGAAAGCGUGGGGAUCGAACAGGAUUAGAUACCCGAGUAGUU